rnacentral:lncRNA from 1 species
AGGAGAGUAACAGGGAGCUCAACAGAUGUAAGGAUACACAAAAAAGUAUAAUGCUGAUACUUGGCAGAGUCAGAUAAAUAAUAGAAACUAAAUUUAAGGGAAGAAACUUACAUGUUGACUCCAUGUUGCAGAAGUAUCUGAGACGGCUUCAGCAAAUCGGGAUAACUGGGAACUUCCAGGUCUUGUGUCUGCACUAUGUGGGCGCUGUAGUGCAACUGAUGCCUGGUUAGAUGGAAACACCCCGGAUGCUGAUGAAGGCCGGGAGUUCGAUUCCCAUGCAAUAGAAGAAGAAUCAUGCGCUUUGUCACUAUCAGCAGUUGAAGGUCGAGUGACGCUUCCACCAGAAGAAGGGCGAUUACUAAGGUGGCUUGGUGAACCAGGGCCACUUUCAGUUCGUGGUGACAACGAUGAUGUCCCCCACGCAUUCAGGGAUGAUUUACUACCCCAACUAAGGGUUCCCCUACAAUAGAUGUCCAGAAGAAAAAAAAUGAAAUAUCUAAAAUUUGACGACGAAAAAGAAUGAGAAAUGGCAAUGAAACAGGUAAAAACUUACUUUGGAACAAUUUCCACAUUUGGGUCAAGGCCUUGCUUCUCUAACCUUGAAUACGGAAGGCAAGUGAUCAGGGAGCGAGAUUAAAUAUAUUUAUUUAGUACGACUAAGUAUGAUCAUGCACUCAUCAAAUACCUUUGGCUUGGCAAGUUAAUCGGUUUUGGAACAGCAACCUUUCCCAAUAUAGUCAUGCCACUUCUUCUUGUAGUACCCCAUCUGCUAAUAUAACCAGCAAAUUUAAUUUGUUACAGAGCAAUGAUGCGAGGCGAGACGUGCAAGCAAUCUCGUUCAAAGAAUGGAAAGCCAAACAAAGAGUUUCGUUCUAUACCCCAGGCACAUAAAGUGAUUCUAUUUUGACAGUACUUGAAAUAUACAGAAGACUGAAAACAAAUGACUCAUACAGUAUUAAGCAGAAGGCCACAUCAAUGUGAAAUCAUACAAGCAUCACUAAAAAGGCCAAACGAUUAAAAAGAACAAAAAAAAAGGCCAUUCAGUUUACGGGGUAAAAAACAACCCAGUAUCAAAACAUAGAAAAGUUCUUGACAAAGAGAAAUUAUAAAGGAACAUAGAAACCUUCGAUCUCCUGUCGUGCUAGAGGUCAUUACUAAGCAGCUAAAGGAUCCAGCUACCCCUUUUGAAACCUGUAAGGAACGUGCAAGAUUAGGUUCACAAACGAAAUUUCAAGCUCAAAUCCCAAGAAUCAAACAAGACUGACUAUGAAGAAGUAUUGAUAUGAUACAGGAAUUGAUUUGACUCGUUAGCAUCUCUCUUUAGUAUACUUAAUACAAGAAAGCAAACAAAUUCGAUGUAGACUGAAGAUAUCAAACUAAGCUAAAUGCAGAGACAGAAGAACUCGGACUCUGAACUGCUGAGAAAAAAUAUAUCGUAGCAGAAUAAGACUGCCUAAACAAGCUCCCCAACACGAGCUUGUAGUCUAUUACCAUCUGCCUAAACUUUCUAUAAAUUACCAUCAUAAAAAGCUUUCAAACAAAGUAAAUUAUUGCCAUGUUCGACAGUCAAAUUGCUACAGAAACUUAAAAUAUAUCAAAAGAACGCCUAACUUCGUCAGGCAAAACUCGACCACAUUCCUAGAAACCAAGUUAGGCGUUCUCAAAAUUUCAGAAAUUUCGGCAGUAUUCAAUCAAACAGCGACCUUCUAACAUACAAAUGUAUCGACCAAUGUAAUUACUUCACGAAGGGUCACAGACUUAUUAGUCGACGAUUAUAUAAACUCGUCAGACGUCGCAAUCAAAAUGCAACGAGAUUGCUCUGGAAGAUAAACGCGAAGAAAAAAGGGAGCCAUGUAGAGAAAUAACUGACCAAAGGAAAAAUUAGGAAAUCUCCUUUGAGGGGCUCCUCGCAAACCCUAGAAAUUGUGAGAAUCCAACAGGAAGGGGAAGAUCGGAUGUUCUCCUGGGUGAUUGAUGAAGAAGAAGAAGGAAGAGGAAGGAGAAAACGAAGGAUCUGUGGAGAAAAAACGAAUACAAGUGAAGCUUUACGUUCAACGGAUUGGUUCAAAGACGACGACACAGCGUCGAAGUUCAGGGCUGCACGGUUUACUCAGCUCUUAUUUUUAUUUUUCGUUUUUUUUUUUAUUUUUGGCUCUAAUAUGUAAAUGAAUGUCACCAUUGAUUCGCGAAAGGAAAAAAAAAGCAAAAAAAAAGCGCGAAUUAGCUCUGCUGACAAAAAGGAAGGAUUAAAGUAAUACAACAAAAAGGCUAUAAUUUUAUUAUAGGUGAGUAUAUAUGCUAUGCAUCAUUAAUAUGCUUCAGAAUACAAUACAAACGUUAAAAACAAAUAUGAAAUCAUUUUUUUCUUCAUAUAUCUUCUUCAUUUCACAUAUACGGAUAUACCAACAAAUUGAGAACAACGUUUUGAGUUUCGUCAUUUUAACAUAGUUUUUCGAUUUACAAUUGUUCACAUAUAUGAUAUAUGUAUCUGUUUAUUAUAAAUAGUCAAAUAGAUUACGGUCGUUUUGGUCGGAAAAUAGUUUACGUUUAUGACUUACUUUUUUUUGUCAUAUUUUCAUGUCGCAAAUUUGACCUUUUUACUACAAAAAGUGAGUUAAUAGAGAAGAAGAAGAAGUGAUACGAAGGAGAAAAGAGACGAGAGAAGAAAUGACACGAGAGAGGAGAGAAAAUAGAGAUUUAAGAAAGAGAUUCAAUACAGUGUGCUUUGAUAAGUAUUUCAUGAGAGAUAUUCCUCUACAUAAAGGAAAAAUACUCAAAACGACAUCAGGUUAAUUAAGAUUGCAUCACUUAGCAUCGGUCAAAACAUAAUAGUUGGACCCUCCCGCCAUGGGUUAGAGCUAGAACUGAACAAAGAGGCCAAUCUUAGUAUCUAUCAUCGGUUAAUCCAGGACCGGUGUUUCUCCCAGCGAUACCCCUUUGCUGCUGGUACAACUUUUGUCCACCAUGCCUUUGGUGGCCCUGUCCCUUCUCCCUGUAUCUUAAACUUUCAGUCUGAGAACUGUCUUUCAUUUGUUCUCGAUUGUGUUCUCUGUCAUAAGUAUGUGACCCAACAGGCUUGUAUUCGUAAUGCAUAUUUUGCUUCUGUCUAUCUCUGUUGGAAUGUGGCCUCUGAUGGUGGUGAUGGUGCAUAUUCUCUUGCACCGAUGAACCCCAACCUCCUUGUGACUCCUGUCCUCUUCCAAACCGUCGACUUUGGCCUGUGUUCUUUUGGAACAUACUACUCGGAUUUUGCUCCACCUGGACCUCCUUAGUGGUAGAUCGGUUUUGAGACUGGGCAGGUGUAUCAGCUGAUGUCUUUUUCUGUUCUGAAGUAAACCCUUGAGGUUCGUGUCCAACAAAACCCCUUUCAUGAGAUACAUAGGUUUUGUCCCUCGUCUUUUCACGACCACCAUACUUGCCUGUCUUAUUUAUAUUAGGGGGACCACCAGCUGAGUGCGACACAUGAUCCCCAGAGCCACGGCUUUCUUUUGAAGCAACAGGCAGAUCUGGUUGACCUAACCCAUGGCCACUGGGCUGCAUAUGAGCUUUACUGAAAUCCCUCUUAUUCGCUUUUUUAAGAUCACCAUAGUUACUCCCUCCACCCUUAUUGUUUCUGAAAGCAUGCUGCUUACCGUGGAAGCUCAUUCCCUGAUCUUUUCCAACAACACCAGCUUGAGGAACACUUGCUUCCAUUUCUUCAGCAGCAGAGUAAUGCGUUUCAGGAGUCAUAUGCCAGCCAUCGUUCCACCCAUCAUCAUUACUUGUGGUUUGAUCCUUGGCAGAGCCUACAGCGAUUUGUUCGGUGUGAUUACUUGUGUGAUAAUUCACUGUUCCUCGAGUAGGCUGAUUUGAGGUUACAAAUUGUCCUUCCUCCAAAGCUUUGGUAGAUGCUGCAGAACCUCGCUGGUGCCAUGAGCCAUGUUCUCUACCAUGCUUGCCCUGCCUAGCAUUCCCAUGUCUCGACUUUGAAGGAGACCCAGAUUUCCCCGCAGUUGAACCAGAAGGUUGAAGAGUUCCUGUACCUUCACCUCCACAAUUUUCUUUCUGCAAAACAUUCUCUGUCAUUUCUCGAGCACCGGGUAUUAGUUUUUUACUGACGGUUUGCUCAGCCAUUUCCUUUACUAUGGGCUUUGCUACAUAUCUUUCAAUCUCCACUCUUUUGGUUUUAGAACUAGUCUGCCCUUGAUGCAGACUCUUCGAAGAGGUGCUAAACUCAGGAUCAGUAUUCUGACUCCCUCCUGUGGAGAUAUCAACUUUCUGCUGUGGAUGUAUCGGAGCCCAAAUAACAGCAUUGCUGCCAGGAAAUUUCUCUGCAGGCUUAUUUACCAGUGAGUUUCUUUGAGUUCUACGCAAAUGCUGAGAUUUCCAGUUGCUUUUCGCUUUGCUUUGAGACUCUUCAUUAGUGAAGGAACUGAUUUGUUCAGACGAAUUACCAGACACUUUGAUAUCCAACCUUGGAACUGAAACAGACCCCAGCACCUUUUCUGCUACCCUUGCGCUACCAGUCUCAAUUGACUCAUCUCCCGAUUUUGUUUCUUUUCCAACGGCAACUCUUGUCGGGUUUAUUGUUGUUGUCUCCUCAAUCUUGUGCUUUUUCUUACCAUUCCUGUUAUUUUUUCUUUUCGUGAAAGUUGAUUCAGUUGAAACGCUUGACAUUGCUGGCAUGUCUGAGUCAUAACUUAGAACACCUUCACUGGAUACCUCAGGAGAUGGAACAACAUCGCACACCUCUGUAGCAGCAGCAGAGAAAGAGUUCCCAGCCAUUUUUUUCUCAAAUAAGAUAUUUUGCUUCUGCUUAUAACCCAAGCGCUUCUGUUUUGCGGCAGCACCAUCACGAUCACGUGGAAGAUUAUCCUGUUGUGUAGGACCCACAUUAUUUGCAAAUUCUGUUGAAGUUUUCCGGUCUUGCAUUGAGGUUUCUAUUGAUUCUCCAGUAGAUUCUAACGGCUUUGCAGCUGCAACGGUGGUCUUCUUCUCAAGAGAUGAACGGACAUGUACAUCAUCAGGUUUUGAUGCCGGAAGUGCAGGUGAAAGACACCGAGGAUUUUCUGGCAUCUCAGGGACAGAAGCAUUAGAUGAACGAACAUGUACAUCAUCAGGUUUUGAUGCCGGAAGUGCAGGUGAAAGAGACCGAGGAUCUUCUGGUAUCUCAGGGAUAGAAGCAUUAGAUGCAGCUUCCGAGUUCUUGACUGAACCCUCCCCAGCUACUUGGGAACGUCUAUUCAACUCUUCUAGUUUUGCAAGAGCCUUAGCCCGCUGAUCUCUUGCUCUUUCUUCCUCCUCUUUCUGCCUCUGUUGAGCACGCUGCCUGGCUAAUUCUCUCAUCGUAGCACGCUUUAAAAGAACAUGUCAAACACUCAGUCCAACCAAAAAAGGAUGACAGCAAUAAAAGUAAAAAUAACAAUGAGAAUCACAUGAACUAAUAUAUACCUCGUUGUCGUUUGGGUCGACAGAUAUUCCAGACCCAGGCUUUCUGAUGUAAUCGGUCGCCAAAGAGUCACCUACAUUUACCUCAGCAAAGUGUUCUGAGUUUGCAGCUGAAGUUGCAGGGGAGGAGCCUGACAUAAGAAUUGUCUUCCGCCAACCAUCAUUGCCUUCACUGUUCACUCUUUGUUUGGUCUGAUAAUCUGCUCUGCCUUGAGCCUGAUGAUUAGAUCUCCUGUAGAUACUAACAUCAAAAAUUUCCCAACAUAAAGGAUAUCAUAACUGGUCGAAACGCUAUUGAUAAACGAUAACUGACCUGGAUGAUAUGGCAGUUCCACUAAUAGCUGCCAGCUCAGCGUAACCAUCACUUGCAUGGCCAGUUCGAGGCAAUAUUGUUGAAACUUUACUUACAGAGUUCCCAGAAUUGACCGCACGUGUAUUGCUUUCCUGCUGAUCUCUAUUGAUGACAGAUGAAGCAUUUUGCCACCCAUCAAUAGUUCUAGUUUUUGCAUUUAAGCCCUCUAUCUUCUGAAUCAAACUGGGAUCUUCAGGUGUAGCAUUUUCUGCCUUAAUAGGUUGUACCUCACCACUUGCCUCAUUGCUGUUUUCUCUGCUGUUGUUUUUUGAAGUUUGCAUCUGUUGAGCUACCUUCUCUGGAUUCGGGAGUCUGUUCCCUAGAAAUUCUUUCCGGGUUGCUUCAUCUUCCCCGAACCUCCCACUUUGGGGAUUUAAGAGAACCUUGUAUGGCCUUUGUGUUUCUUGAGAAUGUGAGGGCUUAUUCUGUUCCAAAGCCACUGAAUUUCCAGAAGUAUCAUAUCCACCUUGACCAGAGUGCUUGUUAUAAGCAUGAGGAGCAACAGGCCUACCUGCAAAAGGCACGUCUCUGUUGCUGGGACUGCCGUACCCCAUGGGAGGACCAUAAUAACCUUCAUGUGGCACUGGACCAAGAUAAAACUCAGGCCUAGUCUGCAUCCUUGGGUGGACAUAGGAGUCGAGCAUAGGAGGUCUGAACAUCUUUCCAUUAGUAUGGUCAUUACCCCUAGGACCAGCCCCAUGUCCGGGACCAGGUGGAACUUGUGUAGGAUAAUUUGGAUAAGGCUCCAUGUGAAACCCCCCAGGAACCAUUGGGGCACCAUAUGGGUGAUUCUCUCUGUUCCAGCCACCACCUUGAUGAUUAUUUACUGGAGGUCCACGCCAAGCAUCAUAUUGAUGAGGAAAAUUAGCAGUGGGAUGGAAUUGUGAACCGCGGGAGUCCAAUUGCCCUUCCUCUCUAUAAUGUCUAGGUGCAUCUUCACUGUAUGGUUGAUUAUCUCUUUUCCAGGUAUUGGCAUCUCCAAUCCGUACAUUAGCUUCUGCAGAUAAAAGACAAGAUAUGGUCAGGUAUAGUUCCCCAGAGAACAUCCGCUAAAAAGAUGUACGGGAAUAAAACAGGAAGGAGAAUUCUCAUGAAAGCCUGGGAGGGUAACAUGGGCUUCUCAUAAGAGCCAAUUAUAAACAUAAGUAACUAUUGAAACGAGAUGCCAACAUCUGUUGUUUACCCACAAAAGAGAAAGAGGUUUGAAAAUAAGAACCUUCUGGGCAAUCCACACCUCGCUCCUCCAUAGAUCUUCCAGACGAAGAUGCAGGACGAGCGUGAGGUCCAGCAUCUGCAAAUUUGUAGUUUCUAAAAGUCACGUCUAACGUAUCCACUUCAUAAAAUCAUGUCAUAUUAUAUCUAGGUAAUCUAUACCCCUCAAGGGGCACAUAUUAGGGGGCCAUCUAAGAUUGUAAAAGUGUUCAAGCAAUACCACGCAAGAAAAACCAGUCAGCGAAAGUUUAAAGUUCUAACUUUGUCGCAUGCCUGUUUAAAAAAAACAAAGUACCAAUUUGCAAAAUGAACGUCUGUGCUAACGCUAUACACUAGAAAGCAAGGACGACGAAAUAUAAAACUGAAUUAUGUUCAAACUGAAACAUUUUAUUUUUUCCUCCUUUACAUAGAAAAUGCUGUGUAUUUUUUUUUCUUAAUGAGACACUAUAAUAUUUACUGCUAAUAGAUGAUACCUUGCGGCCUUGUGCUCUUUUCAGAACUUUCUUUUUCAGCACCAAGGGAAGGAAAAUCUCCAGAAGUCAAAGAAAACCCAUCAUUUUUUGUUGGAGGAACCCCCUGUGGAAAACGGUGAGAGUGAAUAUAAAUUUCAUCGUUGAUAAUGCAAAAUUGGGUAAAUUGUACACAGCUAUUCUUAAAAAAAGCGUAUCUACAUGGAGUUUUAUCAAAUAAUCAUGAAACCCCUUUCAUCAAAUUCCAUUUGCCCAACCAUGAUUCCAGACUUGCUUAUGGAGAACAUGCGCCACUAAGUUGCCAGAUCAUCUUUCGCACAACAAACCAUUUCUCUAAGAGAAACCAUGAGUGCCGUAAAGUUGACAACUUCAGCAUCCUAAUCGUGUUCCCACAGCAAUGAGCAAACACGAAUGAUAUAUCCAGCAAUUAAUAUUCUAUUCAGGAUGCCACAAACAAAAGAACUAGAUGUGCGUUUAUUGCAAAAUAACAAGUGAAGUGAGAGGAGAGUAACAAGGAGCUCAACAGAUGUAAGGAUACACAAAAAGUAUAAUGCUGAUACUUGGCAGAGUCAGAUAAAUAACAGAAACUAAGUUUAAGGGAAGAAACUUACAUGUUGACCCCAUGUUGCAGAAGUCUCAGACAUUGCUUCAGCAAAUCGGGAUAACUGGGAACUUCCAGGUCUUGUGUCUGCACUAUGUGGGCGCUGUAGUGCAACUGAUGCCUGAUUAGAUGGAAACACCCCGGAUGCUG